rnacentral:lncRNA from 1 species
GGUAGGGAGGGUUCUGUCAGGUACUACUCCCUUCCUUAAUGAGCAGGAGGCACCUCUCUGGCUGGGAUUGGAUUUGCCAAUACUGACAGAACCAGGGCUGCUCACACAGCGCAUGGUCCAGGAGGAGAGGCACCCAGAGGGAUCACACGAGUGAGAUCGAGCUGGGAUUUGGUUCUUGUCCUUCACAAGCAGAAGGUGCUUUGGGCGCUGCGUGCUGCAUGCCAGCGGAUGAGAUACGGCCCGCGUCCCGCCCGGCCCUGCCAGGGGCAGCGCCGGCCCCAUCCCCACGGCCACGGCCAGAGCUGCCUGUGUGGGAAGGGGAAAUUGCUCCCACGGCAAAGGGAAAUAAACAUGAGGAGAGCAGCCCUGACAAAAAGCGUGUGUUCCUCUGCUCUGGGGCCCCGCUGCAGGCAAGGCCCGUGCACUGAGGCUGGGGAUGAGGGAGCGGAAGCUGGGCCUGCAGUGAUGUCUGCAAACUCCCUCUCAUUUACAGGGGUCCCUCCCUCCAGCUCUCAGCUCUCAGUGCCGAGAAAUCAGAGGAACCAGUGCCAGGGAGCUGUGGGGCAUGGAAAAGGUCUAACUGCCCAAAGCAUGGAGCCCAGCAGCUUGCCCGAAUGCUGGAAGGAGAAGGCAGCUCCGAUGCUGCUGCAGCUUCCCCGGCUGCCAGGGGAAGUAAUAGAAUCACCCAGGUUGGAGAAGAUCACCUGUAAGAUCAUCGAGUCAGUGCCUCCACAGGUCACGUCUCCUGCAGGGUGUUUGCACUGCUUCCCCAGCCCUGUGGGCUGUGGUGGACUUGGGGUGCCAGAUUCAGGGUGAGGGGCACGCCAGGGCAGGUCUCUGGGGUGCAGGUUGGAAGGGCCAGCACAGACAGCCCUGUCUGCCAGGAGGAUGCUGGUCAUUGCUGUAAGGUCAACCUUAAAUAAUGGGAAUAAUAAAAAUAAGGCUGCCUGCA